rnacentral:lncRNA from 1 species
AACUCCCAACCACUCCAGUCCAUUUAUAGACCAUCAUUCAGGACAUAUACUAGGUCUAAUAUAGAUCUUCUUAUCCAUGCUCUUGGACCCUCCAGUAGGAUCCAGAGCAGGAGAGGUGGAGCCUCAUUAUCUAGGACUCGCUCUCGACUAUUAACCUUCCUUCUGAUGAGGAUUAGGCUUAGGGUCUGUCACUAUCUUUAGAUUGCUCACUAUUUUAUUUGGCUUCAUUUUGAUGUAUUUUUGUUUAUGUCUUUAUACUAUAUCAUGGUUGUACUGUAGUGAAUUUUUUUUGAAAACAGUACAUUCAUUUUGUCUGAUACUCAUGU